rnacentral:ncRNA from 1 species
ACGGACGCUGUAAGGAUUGACAGAUUGAAAGCUCUUUCUCGAUUUGGUGGUGGUGCAUGGCCGUUCUUAGCUGGUGGAGCGAUUUGUCUGGUUUAUUUUAUUGACUUGCAAAGGCGAACAAGCACAGUGAUAGCAUCAAUU